GAGUCUGUAGCGAAGUGUCGCAAACACGGGACAGAUGGAUUCUCUGCAUCACGACGCAUUUAAUUGUGAGUGCCACGAAGAAGUGAUUCGACAAUGAUGAAAUAAAAAAGAAGGAGGCCCGGGGUGGCAUUAGGCGUCAAUGAAACAAUUCUAAGAUCAACAUAAUUGACGAUUUGUGAGGACAUUUGAAACAUUGGGCACCGAAGGAAUAACCAUAAGAUCAACGUAGCUGCAGAUCAACACAGUUACCUUCGCUGUUUGUGCAUCGACUGAUGAGUGAAAAUUUAUUUUAUUAAG